rnacentral:tRNA from 2 species
GCGCGAUUAGCUCAGCUGGCAGAGCACCUGACUCUUAAUCAGGGUGUCCAGGGUUCGAACCCCUGAUCGCGCAUCA